AACACUGUUAACCUGCGGUACCUGCGGAAGGAUCAUUACCGAGCGCGGGUCCUUUGGGCCCAACCUCCCAUCCGUGUCUAUUGUACCCUGUUGCUUCGGCGGGCCCGCCGCUUGUCGGCCGCCGGGGGGGCGCCUCUGCCCCCCGGGCCCGUGCCCGCCGGAGACCCCAACACGAACACUGUCUGAAAGCGUGCAGUCUGAGUUGAUUGAAUGCAAUCAGUUAAAACUUUCAACAAUGGA
rnacentral:misc_RNA from 1 species